ensembl:lncRNA
GUUAUCCUGCCUGUGGGGUUAUAGUGUCUGUGGGGUUAUAGUGUCUGUGGGUUUAUAGUGUCUGUGGGGUUAUCCUGCCUGUGGGGUUAUAGUGUCUGUGGGGUUAUCAUGCCUGUGGGGCUAUCCUGCCUGUGGGGUUAUCCUGUCUGUGGGGUUAUCCUGUCUCAGGGUUUAUAGUGUCUGUGGGGUUAUCCUGCCUGUGGGGUUAUAGUAUCUGUGGGAUUAUCCUUCCUGUUGGGUUAUCCUGCCUGUGGGGUUAUCCUGUCUGUGGGGUUAUCCUGCCUGUGGGGUUAUAGUGUCUGUUGUGUUAUAGUGUCUCUGGGAUUAUCCUGUCUGUGGGGUUAUCCUGCCUGUGGGGUUAUAGUCUCUGUGGGAUUAUCCUUCCUGUGGGGUUAUUCUGCCUGUGGGGUUAUCCUGUCUGUGGGGUUAUCCUGUCUGUGGGGUUAUCCUGCCUGUGGGGUUAUAGUGCCUGUGGGGUUAUCCUGUCUGUGGGGUUAUAGUGUCUGAGGGGUUAUCCUGCCUGUGGGGUUAUAGUGUUUGUGUGGUUAUAGUGUCUGUGGGGUUAUAGUGUCUGUGGGGUUAUCCUGUCUGUGGGGUUAUCCUGUCUGUGGGGUUAUAGUGUCUGUGGGGUUAUCCUGUCUGCGGGG